rnacentral:rRNA from 1 species
AGCUACAGGCUUAACACAUGCAAGUCGAGGGGCAGCAUGGUCUUAGCUUGCUAAGGCCGAUGGCGACCGGCGCACGGGUGAGUAACGCGUAUCCAACCUGCCUUACACUCUUGGACAGCCUUCUGAAAGGGAGGUUAAUACAAGAUGUUAUCAUGAGUAAGCAUUUUCGCAUGAUUAAAGGUUUACCGGUGUAAGAUGGGGAUGCGUUCCAUUAGAUAGUAGGCGGGGUAACGGCCCACCUAGUCUUCGAUGGAUAGGGGUUCUGAGAGGAAGGUCCCCCACAUUGGAACUGAGACACGGUCCAAACUCCUACGGGAGGCAGCAGUGAGGAAUAUUGGUCAAUGGACGAGAGUCUGAACCAGCCAAGUAGCGUGAAGGAUGAAGGUUCUAUGGAUUGUAAACUUCUUUUAUACGGGAAUAAACGAAUCCACGUGUGGAUUUUUGCAUGUACCGUAUGAAUAAGGAUCGGCUAACUCCGUGCCAGCAGCCGCGGUAAUACGGAGGAUCCGAGCGUUAUCCGGAUUUAUUGGGUUUAAAGGGAGCGUAGAUGGGUUGUUAAGUCAGUUGUGAAAGUUUGCGGCUCAACCGUAAAAUUGCAAUUGAUACUGGCAGUCUUGAGUACAGUUGAGGUAGGCGGAAUUCGUGGUGUAGCGGUGAAAUGCUUAGAUAUCACGAAGAACUCCGAUUGCGAAGGCAGCUUACUAACCUGUAACUGACAUUGAUGCUCGAAAGUGUGGGUAUCAAACAGGAUUAGAUACCCUGGUAGUCCACACGGUAAACGAUGAAUACUCGCUGUAGGCGAUAUACAGUCUGCGGCCAAGCGAAAGCAUUAAGUAUUCCACCUGGGGAGUACGCCGGCAACGGUGAAACUCAAAGGAAUUGACGGGGGCCCGCACAAGCGGAGGAACAUGUGGUUUAAUUCGAUGAUACGCGAGGAACCUUACCCGGGCUUAAAUUGCAACCGAAUAUGGCGGAAACGCUAUAGCUAGCAAUAGCGGUUGUGAAGGUGCUGCAUGGUUGUCGUCAGCUCGUGCCGUGAGGUGUCGGCUUAAGUGCCAUAACGAGCGCAACCCUUGCCGAUAGUUACUAACAGGUCAUGCUGAGGACUCUGUCGGGACUGCCAUCGUAAGAUGUGAGGAAGGUGGGGAUGACGUCAAAUCAGCACGGCCCUUACGUCCGGGGCUACACACGUGUUACAAUGGGGGGUACAGAGGGCUGCUACCACGCAAGUGGAUGCCAAUCCCAAAAACCUCUCUCAGUUCGGAUUGAAGUCUGCAACCCGACUUCAUGAAGCUGGAUUCGCUAGUAAUCGCGCAUCAGCCACGGCGCGGUGAAUACGUUCCCGGGCCUUGUACACACCGCCCGUCAAGCCAUGGGAGCCGGGGGUACCUGAAGUGCGUAACCGCAAGGAGCGCCCUAGGGUAAAACUGGUGACUGGGGCU